rnacentral:lncRNA from 1 species
CUUCAUUGUAAAAUCAUGUUUCUUAGCUACACGGUUUUGCCUCUUAUUUUAAGGGUUGUGAAUCUACCAUCCAUGUAGCCAUCUUCUGACCCUCGGAUCGUGACCUUUAAUUGAAUGGAUAUUUAAUUGGUCUUGGUCCUUUCUUAUUCUGGAUGGUUUUGUUCUUAGUUCAUUCGUUUCUUUCUCUCCAUCUCCGAGUGAUAGCUAAGGUGUUCUUGGGUGAAUCUACAAUCUAACUAUUGUGGGUUCAGUCUCUUUCUUUUUGUGAGAUUUUGAUUGUUUUGUACAGUUAUAACAAGAUUGUAACUUUUUUUUAUUACGGUUUAUAAUAUAGAGAGGCUAGAAAGAACUUGAAGAAAUUGACAAUUUCUUCAUAUAUUUGUAUCGAUUUCUUUGUCUAUAUUAGUGGAUCUAGAGCAAAUCUUGUGGUAGAUGCUCAACGUGUGAUUAGGUCGCAAGAUUGAACAUUUAGCUUGUUUUUAGGGUAAAAACAUUUAGUUUGUUCUGUGGUCUUUAAUUAUUAUUAUUAUUUUUUUGGCAAUUUUUGUUAUUGUUUUGAAGAUCGAUCCGUUAUUGUAAACUUUUUUGGGCAUAACAAACAGUAUCAUAGUCACUUUUUGAGAAGUUUUGGCUAGUUUUUCAUUUUUGGCGUGAUUGAAAACCAUAAGUUUCUUUAAAUGUUUUAAAAUUUUUGUGUAGAUCUGAAUAUGUUUUAGAGUUUUGAGUACAAAAAUGAUGUUUUGAAAUUGGGAUCCUUGUAUUCUACCCUCAAUUCAACUUUUGGCUGGAUCUCUUAGUGUUUUCUAUUAUUCUUUGUUUAGAUCUGCUGAUCUUGUUGAAGGUUGUAUGCUGUUCUUG